AAAUUAGCCAGGUGUGGUGGUGUGUGCCUAUAGCACCAGCUACUCAGGAGGCUGAGGUGGGAGGAUCACUGGAGCCCAGGGGUUUGAGGCUGCAGUGAGCUAUGAUCACACCACUGCCCUCCAGCCUGGGCAACAGAGUGAGACCAUGUCUCUUAAAAAAAAAAAAAGAAGGAUACUAGAUGAAGAUGAGGAGCAGGGGUGUGGCGUGAGGAGGACAGACCAGCUAGGAGGAGGAGCCUCUGGGCAAGAGAUGAGGUGACCUGGUCAGGGCCCGUGGCCAUGGAGAUGGCAGGCAUGGACACGGUGAAGCUAUAUUUUGGAGAAGAAUCUAGAGGACUUUCUGAUGAUCAGAUGUCGAAGUGCAGGACAGAGGAGACUCUCAGGCCACUUCCAGCUGCCCCUACCCAGUGGCCUUGUGGGAAUCAGGAAAAGGGCUCCUCUAAACAAGCAUGCAGCACAGGGCACCCGUGCAAGACCCUCACCCUGAGACCCUCCCUUGCAAGUGCGAAGUUGCUCAAGCCCCUGAUUCUCACUCAGAGACCUGGUCAAUUUUGGACUUGCAAAGCUUGUAGUGUCUGUGGCAAUCCAAGGGGAGCCCUGGGCUCUGCCCAAGGUUUAGGGACCAUUUCAACACAGUGAUUCUACCCCUGGCUCCAGCUGUGUGUGAAGUUUCUUCCCUCCCUGCCUGGGCACCAGACUUUUUACAGUACUCACUGCAUUGGACGCAACUAACCUUGUGAAGAAAAGAGUUUUUAAAACCCUGGAAGCUAAUGUUACAAGACUAUUUAGCACUUAAAUAAAUGCAAGUUCUAGAACAUCUGCAGCCAAAAUGAAAGUAAAUAAUGACAGAAUGUGAGUCAUGAGUAGUUUGCAAAGAUUGUAAACAAAGCAUCCUCCCAAAUUCAGAGCCAUGGCCUGAGAGUUGGGUACCAAUUAAUCAGCCCUUAACUCUAUCACACACAAAAGGACACGUGUCCUCAUUAGCAAGUCAUGAGGGGAACUUAGCUAACUGACUGUCACUUUGCUAUCUGGAGUUCACUUAAAACUGAAAUAAAAAGCUUAUUCCCUGAAGAACAGAGCACUCAUGCUCACAUUGUUUGAAAGAAUCACUUCACUGCCAGUGUCAAGACUUCCCGAAGGCCCUGUCCAGGCAGAGGAUGGACCAAAAAGGGAGCUGGGUAGGAGACAGAAGGUUUGGCUCCUGUCCCAGACUCUGCCACUCACAAGCAUGUGCUCAUGUGAGCCACGUCAUCCAUUUUGGUGUUCCCAUCUCUAAAACAGGAGGAAUAGCUGUCCCCCCACUUUUUAAGGGUUUGCGAUGACGCGAUGGGAAAGAAGCACUUGGAAAGGGGUUCCACAAGUGUGAUGUGGUUCCCCUCACACCUCAGAGGGGAGUUCUGCAAUUGAGAAGGCGGGGCAGUGGAGGACCACGGUUAGACAUGGUGUGCAACUUACUCUCAGAAAGCCAGCAGGUAAGCAGAGUGGAUUUGGAGGUAUAAUGAAUGACUGCAAAGUCACAGAAGACAAGGCCACCCAGGCUGUGCUCUCUGCACAUGGGAACUAGAAAUCAGAGUACAAAAUAUGGAGCCAGCAGAUAACACAAAUAUGGGAGUGGCCUGCUGUAAGGCAAUAGGGAAUGGUGGGGCCUGCAGCCAACUAGAGAUUACAAUCAUGCUCUGCUUCAGGCAUUUGCAAAAAGAUUUAAAACUUACACCCCAUGAAACAGCAAAACGCAUCUAUGGCCUGCUGGCUGGGAGUCUGAGACCCCUGCAGAUGGCUGUAUCAAGCAUGUCUUUUUUUUUUUCAAAUGGAGUCUCGCUCUGUGGCCCAGACUGGGUGCAGUGCCACAAUCUCAGCUCACUGCAACCUCUGCCUCCCAGGUUCCAGUGAUUCUCCUGCCUGAGGCUCCCCAGUAGCUGGGAUUACAGGUGUGCGCCACCACACCGGCUAAUUUUUGUAUUUUUAGUAGAGACGGAGUUUCACCACGUUGGCCAGGCUGGUCUCAAACUCCUGACUUUAGGUGAUCCGCCCGCCCCAACCUCCCAAAGUGCUGGGAUUACAGGCGUGAGCCACCAUGCUGGGUCUCUAGCACGUCUUUUUAUUCCAAUGCUCACUUGGGGCCUUGCUGACACUGGAGAGACUGCCCCUCCCGGGCAGGGCCCCCUAAUUCCUAGAGAUAGUAAACAACUAGGGUGUACCUUUAAUAUGCAAAGCAACCAAUCCAGAGCAUGUAACCCAGAUGCCUCCUUGAUCAGACUCUCACACUGGGGGCCAUGACCCAUCUGCCCUAAGCACCUCACGGGCUGGCCAGACAACUAGGGACAGUCCCUAUACCCCAGAGCCUGCUGAAAUGACUCAAACCAGCCCGUCCGAAGCCUGUUUACCCUGCUUGCCUUUUCCAAAGAAACCACAGUAGAGGCUCUUGCCCACAUUUUCCCUCUGGGCUGCCUCCUGACCCUGGUGCUUCCCCCACGUGGCCCUGCAUGACUAUCGCAUGCCACCUCAGCUUAGGAACUGCGAGCAACAAACUCUCUCCAGUGGCAGUUGUCUCCUGACUGUUGGCCUCAUUAGGCCUGAAUAGUAAGAAAACCUGUAUUUUCAUACAUCUGUAAACCCCACCGGAGCACAGAUCAUCAUUGCUGCUUUAUUUCCCCCUGUGAAUCUCGGCACCUAGCACAGUCUCUGGCACGUUGAAAACACAAUUUCUUUCUCUUUCUUUCUUUUUU
rnacentral:lncRNA from 1 species